rnacentral:tRNA from 1 species
GGGGUUGUGGCUCAGCGGCAGAGUGCUCAUCUGGUAUGUGCGAGGCCCUGGGUUCGAUUCUCAGCACCACA